rnacentral:rRNA from 1 species
UACGGGGGGGGCAAGCGUUGUUCGGAAUUACUGGGCGUAAAGGGCUCGUAGGCGGCCAACUAAGUCAUACGUGAAAUCCCUCGGCUUAACCGGGGAACUGCGUCUGAUACUGGAUGGCUUGAGUUCGGGAGAGGGAUGCGGAAUUCCAGGUGUAGCGGUGAAAUGCGUAGAUAUCUGGAGGAACACCAAUGGCGAAGGCAGCUCGCUGGGACGGUACUGACGCUGAGGCGCGAAAGCGUGGGGAGCAAACAGG